rnacentral:tRNA from 1 species
GCCGUCAUCGGAUAACCCGGUACAGAGCAAAUCUCCUCUGCGGGAGAUUCCGUCCGCCUUGAGAGCGGAUGCCCGUAAGGGUGUGUAGGUUCAAAUCCUGCUGGCGGCG